ACAGGACGUUCAAAGUCACUCUCCCUUCCUUCUCUUCGAACACGGGGCCGUCUCCGAACUUGGAAGGUCCCGGGGAGCCCGUGGAGCCGCUGCCUCUCUCGCGCCGAGCAUCCUCGAUCAGGCUCUGCUUCCUCCCCGCGGAUGGAGCAGGUGGUGGGACUCCGUUGUCCGUCUUCAUGAGGACGUCGUUGGCGACGCGCUGUGUGUCAUGGCCGGCGACAGAGUUCAGGUUUAAAUACCUGCGACAGCGCUGGAGAUGGAGGUGUUUGAACUCACGGCUCAGGUGUGUACGUCGGCCUGGAGCCGUGCCGGAUGUACUGGGUGGAAUGGAAAACACGGAAGGCCAGACCAGCCAGGAAGUCCCGAGAGGAAAGCAAACCAGCAACAGGACGGAGGCGGAAGCCAGUACAAGCUGCAGAUGUACAGGGGUGGCCACAGCGGAUCAUCUUCCUCCACCUCACCCUGCUUCGCAUCAUAUAUUAUGAUGUAAUAUAAUAUCAGCCUGAAUGACAUUAUCGAUGCGCAAAAGA